UCUUGUAGCCAGAGAGCACUGAGGAAACAGCGGCUUCUUCCAACACAUUAACUGGGUGACCCAGCACUACUGUUGUCUGCCUCUGAGAUAUCAUGGUGUCUAGCUUCCACAAACUGUAAACCAAAGGACUCUGAGACACAGCCAUCUCCCAGGAGCAAUGUGACCCCCACAGUCUAGUUACCUGAAUGAAGCACUUGCCAACAAAGGAACCUUAACAUUUCCGAAAACUGCAGCAAGUUCCCUGACACCGUCAGCUUUCAGCAAUGAUGGAGAAUACAUUUUCUGCAGCUGGUUGCAACUGAUCCAGAGUUUCAAGACCACUACUUGAGAAACCACUGGGUCAGAAGAUUCCUCAACCAAGAGUCUCCUAACCCAGAGCCACUUACAUGGGGAGGUGCAGUACGCUGGCUCACUGGAGAAGACCAUGGGAAGGGAGGCCAAGCGGGGGAAGAUGGUAAGACCACCGCAGCUGGUAGGACUGUUCACCACAGGCCUUCACAACUACAUGACCUUUGUUCAAAGUCAGACUUUUCCAUUCUCUGUUUUGGACUCAGGAGUUGGUAGCUUUGAGAAUCCCCUAGCUUUACAUCCAAAACCACUGCUGGCCUGUUGCUUACCAACAUUUGCAGAGAGGAGAGGCGAGCUAGGUGGGAUUCCUUCUCCAGGAACGCUUGCCAGCAUGAGUUCAAGAUGAACAGAUGAACCCCCAGACCCUUUUUCCUACAGGUGCUGGAGUUUAAGUAGACAGGGGUGGGCGGUGGGGGCGGGGAUCUGGCAUGGAACCCAGAAGGGUAGGGGAAGCUGAAAUCACACCUCGAGUCUCGCCACAAA